UACGGAGGGUGCGAGCGUUGUCCGGAAUCACUGGGCGUAAAGGGUGCGUAGGCGGUUUGGUAAGUCUGAUGUGAAAUCUAUGGGCUCAACUCAUAGUCUGCAUCGGAAACUGCCGGGCUUGAGUAUGGGAGAGGUGAGUGGAAUUCCUGGUGUAGCGGUGAAAUGCGUAGAUAUCAGGAGGAACACCUGUGGCGAAAGCGGCUCACUGGACCAUAACUGACGCUGAUGCACGAAAGCUAGGGGAGCAAACAGG
rnacentral:rRNA from 1 species